GAUGAACGCUGACAGAAUGCUUAACACAUGCAAGUCAUUGGCGAAGCUGCGCUUGCGCAGUCUAGCCAAGGCGGACGGGUGAGUAACGCGUAAGGAACUUGCCCUGCAGACAGGGAUAACAGACGGAAACGACUGAUAACACCUGGUAUUGUCAGGCUGGCGCAUGCCGGCCUGAUGAAAGGAGACGCUGCAGGAGAGCCUUGCGUCCUAUUAGCUAGUUGGUGGGGUAACGGCCCACCUAGGCGAUGAUAGGUAGCCGGCCUGAGAGGGUGAACGGCCACAAGGGGACUGAGAUACGGCCCUUACUCCUACGGGAGGCAGCAGUGGGGAAUAUUGGACAAUGGGGGCAACCCUGAUCCAGCAAUUCUGUGUGCACGAAGAAGGUUUUCGGAUUGUAAAGUGCUUUCAGCAGGGAAGAAGAAAGUGACGGUACCUGCAGAAGAAGCGACGGCUAAAUACGUG
rnacentral:rRNA from 1 species